rnacentral:rRNA from 1 species
AUGGACUCGGCGCCGCCAGCCGCCGGCGGCGGCCCCGGCGCCGGCUACCCGGAGUCAACGGACUCGUCCCCGCGCAGCCGCGGCGGGGACUCGUGGGACGAGCCCUUCCCCUCCUCGGCCGCGGCGGCGGCCGCGGGCGGGGGCGGGCGGCUGCGCCUCAUGUGCAGCUUCGGGGGCCGCAUCGUGCCGCGGCCCACGGACAAGUCCCUCUGCUACCUCGGCGGGGAGACCCGGAUCGUGGCCGUCGACCGCAACGCGUCCCUCGCCGACGUCCACGGCCGCCUCUCCCGCUCGCUCCUCGCCGGCCAGCCCUUCACGCUCAAGUACCAGCUCCCCAACGAGGACCUCGACUCGCUCAUCUCCGUCUCCACCGACGAGGACCUCGACAACCUCGUCGACGAGUACGACCGCGUCGCCGCCACCUCCUCCUCCGGCGGCGGCGCCUCCCGCACCUCCCGGAUCCGCCUCUUCCUCUUCCCCGCCAAGCCCGAGUCCUCCUCCUCCCUCGGCUCCCUGUUAGACGACUCGUCAAAGUCCGAGAACUGGUUCGUCGACGCGCUCAACAGCGCCAUCUCGGGGUCCUUCGACGGCAUCCCGCGCGGGAUCUCCACCGACUCCGCCUCCGUCAACUGCCUCCUCGGCCUCGAGGACGACAACGCCUCGCAGCACUCCCGCAGCGGGGUGCCCAACUCCGGCCCGGCGGAGGACCAGCGGGCCAACCAGCAGAAGCUCGCCGCGGCGGCCAGGCACCAGCACGACGUGCAGUCCGUGCCCGACUCGCCGAUGCUGGACAAGAACUCCUCCUUCGGCUCCACGUCCUCGGCGCCGUCCCUGUCGAAUCUGCCGCCGAUUCGGGUGCGGCCCGAGGAUCGGCAGCCUGUGGCGCCGCCGGUCUCUGUGGAGGAUCACUUUGCCCAGAUGGGGAUCUCGGAGCAGCAGGGCCUGCCUCCGCCGGUGAUGGGAUAUAUGCAACCGCCGCCCCAGGCGCCGAUCCCCGCCAUGGCGAUGCAGGCGGCCAGCAGCAUCUCGCCAUCGGAGCCGCCCAGCAGGGCCUUCUCAGAUGAUGACAGGUCCGAUCACGGGGGUCGGAUGCAGCAGCCACCAAAGCAGGAGGUUCCACCUACCGCCGACCCCAACAACAGGGCCAUGUUCUACAAUGAUAUGUCGCCUCGGAAUGAGAUGAAGCGAGACAUGCCGGUGGGAACUGAUGCCGCCAGCUAUCGCGCUCCAGCGCCAGCUCCAGAUGCUGCCACAUCGGCAGCCGCUGCACAGCCGCCGCCUGGUUAUGUCUAUGCGCAGAUGCAGCCACAACAGCAGUUACAGCAGCCACCACAGCAGCAAUUACAGCAGCAGCAGCAAUUACAGCAGCAGCAGCAGUUACAACAGCAAGCUCAGCAGCAAUUGCCACAACAAAUACAGCAGCAGCCACAGCAGCAAUUGCCGCCGCAAUUACAGCAGCAAGCACAGCAGCAGCAAGCACAGCAGCAGCCUCCGCAGCCGCAGCAAGCACAUCAGCCAGCUCCACAGCAGUAUGUCACCGCGGGAAAUCAGCAUUUCAUUCACAACCCAGCCACGGGCACAUUCAUUCCAAUCCAAUCUUAUUACCAGCAGACUGUCCCUCAGCAAGCGCCGCAGCAACAGCAGUCGCCUGCAUUUGACCCAAAUACUGGCAUGUAUUACAUCCCUAUGCAGCGUCCAAAUGCACCUCAGCAGUAUAGCAUUCCUGCUGGUGCUGUAGCCCCUAUGGCUGCCCCGACACUUGUUGACAGCGUACCGAAGCCAACCGUGCCGAUUCCUCAGCAAUAUAUGAAGCCUGAAUUGCAGCAGCCUGGCAUGUACCGAACCGCGGCGCCCGCUGCCCCUGCUCCAGGGGCUAACACGGCCCCUAAUUAUGCUGGAAUGGGGUACCACCAUGUAAUGCAAUCCCACCACCAUCCUGGAGAGUCCAUUUGCCGAUGUUGCAGUAAGCUGGGGUGGAAGGAAGGCCUGUGA